rnacentral:misc_RNA from 1 species
GAUGAAGUACGUAGCGAAAUGCGAUACUUGGUGUGAAUUGCAGAAUCCCGUGAACCAUCGAGUCUUUGAACGCAAGUUGCGCCCGAAGCCAUUAGGCCGAGGGCACGCCUGCCUGGGCGUCACACGUCGUUGCCCCCCCAUCUACUCCUUCGGGAUUGCGGGGGGCGGAUGAUGGCCUCCCGUGCGCCUCGUCGCGCGGUUGGCCUAAAUGCCAAGUCCUCGGCGACGCACGCCACGACAAUCGGUGGUUGCGAAACCUCGGUUGCCUGUCGUGUGCGGUCGUCGCGCAUCGAGGGCUCGAAAAAAUUGCCGGGCUUCGGCUCGACUUUCAACGCGACCCCAGGUCAGGCGGGGUUACCCGCUGAAUUUAAGCAUAUCAAUAAGCGGAGGA